ACCCCAAAAGAUGUAUGUAGUUAAAGCUCAGCUUCCUGUAGCCUCCAUAGCCCCUGAAGUGUUAAUCUGAAGAAACAGUUCCAUUAGUUUCCACAGGCCAGUAGUGACUCUCCUACACUUGACCUAGACAGACUUACAUAAUGAAGCAUCAGUGCUGGGGAGCUUGUACGAUGUCAUCACCAGCAAGAAUAAGGAGUAUUGGCAGCAGCAAGCAGGCGGGCAGGCUAGGAUUUUGCAUGGAAAUCAUGAACCCUGUCUUGCUUUUCUUUUUUGAAAUGUUUUGGAAGGAGAGUUAUGAAUAGGUCGCAUUUUGUGGGUGGGAAAAACAAUGGCCAGAGGCAUGAAAGCUAAAUCUUCCAGCAAGUGAGAGGUACCUCUCUUGGAGUGUGCAGUCAACCCGAGAGGAGGAAUUGCCUUCUGUGAACUUCUGAACCAUCGCAUCUGGAGUGAAAGGGACUGCAAAGCAGUGUGAUAACGCAGAGGAUGCUGCUGAGAGCUUUCGUCUGCCUUUAACUCAUUGUGGCAAAGUUGGACAUCCCAAAGAUGGCGUAGAUGAACAUGACCAGGAAAAGCAGGAGGCCGAUGUUGAACAGCGCAGGAAGAGACAUCAUCAGAGCAAAGAGCAGCGUGCGUAUCCCCUUGGCGCCUUUGAUCAGGCGUAGAAUUCGGCCAAUCCUGGCCAGGCGGAUGACUCGGAACAGGCUUCUUCAAUGUUGGCCUGGUUCUGUUCCUCAUAUGCCAUGGCUACCACAGCCAGGAUCAAGUUUAUCAGGUAAAAGGAGCCCAGGAAAAUCACCACAACAAAGAAAAUCAUGUAGGUUUUGCCAGCAGCACGCAGCGUCUGGUGGUGG